rnacentral:rRNA from 1 species
AGGACGAACGCUGGCGGCGUGCUUAACACAUGCAAGUCGAGCGGAAAGGCCCUUCGGGGUACUCGAGCGGCGAACGGGUGAGUAACACGUGAGUAACCUGCCCUGGACUUUGGGAUAACCCUCGGAAACGGGGGCUAAUACCGAAUAUUACUUCCCCUCGCAUGGGGGGUGGUGGAAAGUUUUUCGGUCUGGGAUGGGCUCGCGGCCUAUCAGCUUGUUGGUGGGGUGAUGGCCUACCAAGGCGACGACGGGUAGCC